rnacentral:rRNA from 1 species
GACGGGUGAGUAACACGUGGGAACGUACCCUUAGGUUCGGAACAACACAGGGAAACUUGUGCUAAUACCGGAUGAGCCCUUCGGGGGAAAGAUUUAUCGCCAAUAGAUCGGCCCGCGUUAGAUUAGCUAGUUGGUGAGGUAAGAGCUCACCAAGGCGACGAUCUAUAGCUGGUCUGAGAGGAUGAUCAGCCACACUGGGA